UACGAAGGGGGCGAGCGUUGUUCGGAUUUACUGGGCGUAAAGGGCGCGCAGGCGGCCUUGUCUGUCAGGCGUGAAAGCCCCGGGCUCAACCUGGGAAUGGCGUCUGGGACGGCAGGGCUAGAGAUCGGGAGAGGAGCGUGGAAUCCCAGUGUAGAGGUGAAAUUCGUAGAUAUUGGGGAAGAACACCGGUGGCGAAGGCGGCGCUCUGGACCGAGACGUGACGCUGAGGCGCGAAAGCGUGGGGAGCAAACAGG
rnacentral:rRNA from 1 species